GACGAAGGAUGCAAGCGUUAUCCGGAUUCAUUGGGUUUAAAGGGAGCGUAGGUGGCCUUAUAAGUCAGUGGUGAAAUCCCGCAGCUUAACUGUGGAAUUGCCAUUGAUACUGUAGGGCUUGAGUACAGAUGCCGUUGGCGGAAUAUGACAUGUAGUGGUGAAAUACAUAGAGAUGUCAUAGAACACCGAUUGCGAAGGCAGCUGACGAAACUGUAACUGACACUGAGGCUCGAAAGUGUGGGGAUCAAACAGG
rnacentral:rRNA from 2 species